rnacentral:rRNA from 1 species
GGGCCCGCACAAGCGGUGGAGUAUGUGGUUUAAUUCGACGCAACGCGAAGAACCUUACCAGGUCUUGACAUCUCUCGCCAGCCGGUGAAAGCCGGUGUUAUGGUUUUUAACCGUACGGGAAGACAGGUGGUGCAUGGUUGUCGUCAGCUCGUGUCGUGAGAUGUUGGGUUAAGUCCCGCAACGAGCGCAACCCCUGCCUUUAGUUGCCAGCAUGUAAAGAUGGGCACUCUAAAGGGACUGCCGUUGACAAAACGGAGGAAGGCGGGGAUGACGUCAAAUCAUCAUGCCCUUUAUGACCUGGGCUACACACGUACUACAAUGGCCGGUACAGACGGAAGCGAAGCCGCGAGGCGGAGCGAACCCGAGAAAGCCGGUCCCAGUUCGGAUUGCAGGCUGCAACCCGCCUGCAUGAAGUCGGAAUCGCUAGUAAUCGCAGGUCAGCAUACCUG